rnacentral:rRNA from 1 species
CCUACGGGAGGCUGCAGUGGGGAAUUUUGGACAAUGGGCGAAAGCCUGAUCCAGCAAUGCCGCGUGAGUGAAGAAGGCCUUCGGGUUGUAAAGCUCUUUUGUUUGGGACGAAAUCCCUAAGGAUAAUACCCUUGGGGGAUGACGGUACCAAAAGAAUAAGCACCGGCUAACUACGUGCCAGCAGCCGCGGUAAUACGUAGGGUACAAGCGUUAAGCGGAAUUACUGGGGGCAAAGUUGUAGGACAGGGUUGAAAUCCCCGAGCUAAACUUGGGAACUGCACUUGUGACUGCAAGACUAGAGUGUGUCAGAGGGAGGUAGAAUUCCACGUGUAGCAGUGAAAUGCGUAGAUAUGUGGAGGAAUACCAGUGGCGAAGGCGGCCUCCUGGGAUAACACUGACGCUCAUGUACGAAAGCGUGGGGAGCAAACAGGAUUAGAUACCCGGGUAGUC